rnacentral:lncRNA from 1 species
UGGGAAGACAGAUAAUACACACUCAAUUGCUACUCAUCAUUUUACUGAUGGAUAGUCCAGAGGAGCUGAUAAGACGUCACAGACAGCAUUUCAAGACCCAAGACAAUAACGUAAAGAGCCAGAAGAAUCUAAAUAUGAAGACAUGAUGACAAUCAAGAUUGUGACCUAGUAAGUCCCUCAGGUAACUACAGUUGUGACUUAACUUAUGCUAGAUGUUGAUGUGGGCUAUAAAUCCACUUAUUUCAAAAUUACAUAAAAUUUAAUUCUUUCCAUAUCUGUACCUUUGUAAUUUAUAUAUAUAUAUAUAUAUAAAUUAAUACUUCCAAGUUCAAGGGUGCCAAGUGCCAAACAAUUUCUGCUGAGUAAACUUUGUGUCUUGUGCUUUGAAAGACUCUUCUGUAUUCAUUAGCAUGUAUGUAAACAACCAUUAAUUUUAUUCCUUUUAUCUUUUGGACUCCUGUGCCUUGACACAAGGAGAACAGAGACUGGAGUGCCCACAGGAAGAAGAAGAAUAAACUUUAGCAAAUGGAAUGAUAUAUUACUAUUGAAGGGUUAUGAAUGUUGGUUGCAUUUUGCUUAACAUUUCAUCUCAGUGCUGCUUCAGAACUGGUGGAGCCAUAUCCUUGCUGAGGAUCAUAGUUUCUUCUGGGAGAAAACUGCACCUGGGAAAGUGUUUCAUACUCCCAUGGAUAUGCUGUAGCUCCUGUCUGCACAAAGGGGAAGAGCACAUCUGGGAUCACUGGGACCACAGCAGCAGUGGUGAUGAA